UACGUAGGGUGCAAGCGUUAAUCGGAAUUACUGGGCGUAAAGCGUACGCAGGCGGUCUGUUAAGACCGAUGUGAAAUCCCCGGGCUUAACCUGGGAACUGCAUUGGUGACUGGCAGGCUUUGAGUGUGGCAGAGGGAGGUAGAAUUCCACGUGUAGCAGUGAAAUGCGUAGAGAUGUGGAGGAAUACCGAUGGCGAAGGCAGCCGUCCUCGGCGCAAACACUGCGCUCAUGCACGAAAGCGUGGGGAGCAAACGG
rnacentral:rRNA from 1 species